AGGUGCACAUGGGUGUCGAUUCCGCCGGCGGUGAGGAUUUUGCCCUCUCCGGCGACCACCUCGGUAGCGGGGCCGAUCACCAGGGCAGGGUCAAUACCGUCCAUGAUGUCCGGGUUGCCGGACUUGCCGAUUCCGGCGAUCCGGCCGUCCUUCACGCCCACGUCGGCGCGGACGAUUCCCCAAUGGUCCACGAUCAGCACGUUUGUGAUGACCAGGUCCGGGGCGCCUUCCGCCGAGGUGCGGGUGGACUGAGCCAUGGAUUCG
rnacentral:sRNA from 1 species